GGAAUAUUGGUCAAUGGAGGGAACUCUGAACCAGCCAUGCCGCGUGCAGGAAGAAUGCCCUCUGGGUUGUAAACUGCUUUUAUCCGGGAAUAAACCUCACUACGUGUAGUGAGCUGAAUGUACCGGAGGAAUAAGGAUCGGCUAACUCCGUGCCAGCAGCCGCGGUAAUACGGAGGAUCCAAGCGUUAUCCGGAUUUAUUGGGUUUAAAGGGUACGUAGGCGGAAGAUUAAGUCAGUAGUGAAAGCCUCCCGCUCAACGGGAGAAUUGCUAUUGAUACUGAUUUUCUUGAAUAUAGUUGAAGUAGGCGGAAUACGACAUGUAGCGGUGAAAUGCAUAGAUAUGUCGUGGAACACCGAUCGCGAAGGCAGCUUACUAAGCUAUUAUUGACGCUGAUGUACGAAAGCGUGGGGAGCGAA
rnacentral:rRNA from 1 species